rnacentral:rRNA from 2 species
CUCUCGGCAACGGAUAUCUCGGCUCUUGCAUCGAUGAAGAACGUAGCGAGAUGCGAUACGUGGUGUGAAUUGCAGAAUCCCGUGAACCAUCGAGUCUUUGAACGCAAGUUGCGCCCGAGGCGAGGCGACUCGGCCGAGGGCACGCCUGCCUGGGCGUCACGCCCCCGUU